CCCGCCCCCCAACCGCAGGCUCCCGCGCGCCACCCCGAGGGGACGGGCGCCACCUCCUGCUACGCGGCACCCGGUCCCGUCAACCGCCCAACGGCUGAGGAGUGCGGCAGCGCGCCAGAGACUGGCGGGCAGCUCCGCCCGCGGCCGGGAUGCACUAGGCAAAGCCAGCUGGGCUCCUGAGUCCGGUGGGUACUUGGAGAACUUACUACGUCUAGCUGGAGGAUUGUAAAUGCACCAAUCAGCAUGCUGUGUCUAGCUCAAGAACUCAAGCUCCAUGAGGAGAUGUUUCAUUGUCGAGAGCAGUCAUGAUGGCCUGCACUCCACACAAUGCAACAGAGUGAAAGAGCAGGUUCUGCUUCUUUGGUGUAGUCCUGAAGCUUCCUAAGAAACUUCACAUCAGGUGAUGGAUAGGAGCAACCCUGUAAAACCAGCCUUAGACUAUUUUUCAAACACUGCGCACAAUACCACAUUUCCCAGCAUUCCUUGCAUCUGGAUAUAGCUGUAUUCAAAUAAGCCGUGUGAAACUUCUGGGAUGGCUCCUUAAGUGCAGUUGACUCAUUAGGGAGGUAUGUCUUUUUUAUUUUUCUACACUUUGUGCUGCUGUCCUGGAGUACAGACAUGGUGGCUAGAAGCAUGAAAUCACCUUGAAGGUAGAAGUCAUGCAUUGAAGUUAGUAAAAGUGAAAUGUAAGUGUAUAGUUUCCUGAUGAAAAUGGGAAGCUUAUGUACUAGCAACAGAAUGCUUAUUAUGCAGGCUUCCUAUAUGUAAAAGAGGACAAAUUCUCAUUUUAUUAAGUUUCUGAAAGUAGAUUUCUAAAUGCUGGUUCUAUUUUUUAUUGAAAGUAAUGGCAAAAAACGCAAUGCCUUUUGUACCAACCUAAUAGUUAAUAAACAUAUCCUCAAAUGAAAUGUCUUAGAAUUGUGUUCAUCAAGUUAAUAUUAAUAAUUUAUUAGAAUAGCACUCUAAAGGGUUGCAGCCUAUGCAUGAAAAUACUUACAAACUACUACAUGAUAAUCAAUUCUUUUUGGCAAGACUGCUAUUUACAUGGACACAAGAGUUAUUAUAAGAAUGUUGUAUGUAUACAUGAAUAGUGUCUGUUAAACACUGGAUAUAAUAAAAACAAUAGUUUUUCUGUUAAUUAUAACAAUCUGAACAUUUUUGUGAUUAUAUUUCACAAAUGACACACCAUUUUAUUUGCAGAUUUUUCUUAUCCCCAAAGUUUUUGUUAAUUUAUUACCAACACAGCACACAAGUCUAGUGGCAAUGCAUUACCUCUGCAGUUGAUUUUGAAGUAAGAAGGCCUAUUUAUUGCAUUCAUUCCUGCUUAGAUGACAUCUUAAAUUUGUUAAUUGGAUUAUUAUGCUCUAUUCUAUACAUUUAUUGAUUUAUAGAUUUUGUGGACACAAAUUUCAAAACAUAUUCGAAAAUUUGGUGAUAGCUUUUUAGAAUCUAUUCUUCAACAUAGUUAUUGAAAGUGAACAAGAAGGACCUCCUCUAGAGAUUAGGUUGAGAACCACUUCUUUGAUUUGUUAAAUAUGUGUACAUGGAUACCAUGUGGCUUUAUUAUGAGGAGCCACUUAAGUGGCUGAGUUACAAUUCACAAAACAUUGUCACAGGGAAAAUAUCAGGACAAAUUUUCAAGUCGCAUGCCAAGAAAAGAAACUUUCUGAAUGCUUAUAAGAAAUACCUUAAUUAAUGGGAGCCCUUCAAAGUACACAAAACAUCAUAACUAGGAGUUGCAACACAACCAGCAAUUUGCUGAUUGAAAUGCAUUCAUUCAUACUGACUUCACCUGCUGAAUGGAAUAUUGUGCUGUACUGUCCUUAGCUAUGGAGAGAGAAUUAAGGAAUAUCCCCUUCUGGUGUUCAACAACAACGAAAGAGCAAGAAAGAUAUAUUCCUAAUUUUUAAAGAAGAAUGUAGAGAUACUUAAACAAGACAAUGAAGGUGGUAGAAAGAUUAUUACCAUCCCCAAAGUGUUUGCUCAUUAAAACAUUUUGUGAUUUUCUCUGCCAAUAUCAUACCUGUAUGGAUAAUUGUUUUCCUAUCCACACAGUUAUGAGAGUGAGAAGAUGGAAUAUAAAAGAUGGAACAAGAGGGAAUCUGUGUGGUGACCACAGUAAUCACAGGCUGGUUGGGAUCCUAAACUCGGCCACAGCACAAAAGCAUGUUCAAGUUUAAAGUCAUGAGAGAGGCCUGGCAUAGUGGCUCACACCUAUAAUCCCUGCACUUUGGGAGGCCAAGGUGGGAGGAUUGCUUGGGGC
rnacentral:lncRNA from 1 species